AUAACCAUGAACUUCCAUAUCUGUCAUAGGAAAGAGGUUGGCCUCAGCAACAAUGAGGGAUAAUUCUUUCAAGAAAGGAAUGAAGAGAGAAGUUAGAUGGAAAAGAGAUUUUUAAGGUCAAAAGAAGCAGCUGAAGAACAUGUGUAGGACAGCCUUAGGAGUUACUACACUUCAAGACCUGGGUGUCUGCUGGAGGAAGGAACAUGACCCUGCGGAGAUGUUAAGGGUUGGGAGAGCUGAGCUUGGAGGCUGGAAGCCCAGCUGGGAGGCUAUUGUUAAAGAGGUUGCUGCAGCAACUGGUCACACAGUAGUGUUGGUAGACCAGACAGAGGACAUCCUGGCAAAAUCCAAAAAGGGAAUUGAGGAAAGCCUUAGGAAAGUGGCAAAGAAGAAGUUUGCAGAAAACCCUAAGGCCGGCGAUGAAUUUGUGGAGAAGACCCUGAGCACCAUAGUGACCAGCACGGAUGCAGCCUCCGUUGUCCACAGCACAGACUUGGUGGUGGAAGCCAUCGUGGAGAAUCUGAAGGUGAAAAACGAGCUCUUCAAAAGGCUGGACAAGUUUGCUGCUGAACAUACAAUCUUUGCCAGCAACACUUCCUCCUUGCAGAUUACAAGCAUAGCCAAUGCCACCACCAGACAAGACCGAUUCGCUGGCCUCCAUUUCUUCAACCCAGUGCCGGUCAUGAAACUUGUGGAGGUCAUUAAAACACCAAUGACCAGCCAGAAGACAUUUGAAUCUUUGGUAGACUUUAGCAAAGCCCUAGGAAAGCAUCCUGUUUCUUGCAAGGACACUCCUGGGUUUAUUGUGAACCGCCUCCUGGUUCCAUACCUCAUGGAAGCAAUCAGGCUGUAUGAACGAGGUGACGCAUCCAAAGAAGACAUUGACACUGCUAUGAAAUUAGGAGCCGGUUACCCCAUGGGCCCAUUUGAGCUUCUAGAUUAUGUCGGACUGGAUACUACGAAGUUCAUCGUGGAUGGGUGGCAUGAAAUGGAUGCAGAGAACCCAUUACAUCAGCCCAGCCCAUCCUUAAAUAAGCUGGUAGCAGAGAACAAGUUCGGCAAGAAGACUGGAGAAGGAUUUUACAAAUACAAGUGAUGUGCAGCUUCUCCGGCUCUGAGAAGAACACCUGAGAGCGCUUUCCAGCCAGUGCCCCGAGUGCCUGUGGGAAUGCUCUUUGGUCAGACAUUCCCUCACACAGCACAGUUUAAUAAAUGUGCAUUUUGAUUGUAAUCUAUCGAAGUGAUUAUUACACCAGUUACAGCAGUAAUAGAUUCUCCAUUAAGAAAUAAUUCCCUUUUUUAGUCUGUUCAUUUCUGUGUAUUUUCUAAACAGCUUUACACCCUUGGUGCCUUGGAGCAAACAUGUUUUUUGAACCUUGUCAUUUUUGUGAAGAAUUGCCUGGAUUCCUUCUCUCAUCAACGGGAAAGUACUUCCUCUGAGAGUGCGAGUGCACCAUGCUCACUGUUGCUGCGUGGGAGAGUCACAAGCCACUGGCAAGCAAGUGGUAUAGUCUGUGAAGCACUGCAGCGAGCAGCACCUGGAUCUUGCCUUUAUGAGAACAUUUUACUACCUGCAGCUUUGAGUCUUGCCCUACAUUUUGGGCAUGACAUAAGAUGUGUCUUUAUUCAGCUCAUCGUGAAGAUGCUGCUGCAGAAUGGGUCAGCAUAUCUCUGUUUGCAUGGUUUGCAGGAGGUCGGUUUUCAUGGUCAUUCAGUUCCACAGAUCUGAAUGAUUACUGUCUGUCUGUGUCUUUUUUCCAUGAGAAAUCACUGUUGCAAAUUGCCUAUAAAUUGACUCUACUAAACUAACAAUGUUUCAGUCUGAAAAUUUGAAUUGAAAAAAAUGUAUAAUAUAAAAUUGUAAUACACUCAAAUGAUUAUAAAAGUAAAAGUUGGUAAUUUAGGCAGAA
rnacentral:sRNA from 1 species